UAAAUCUUGAACUAAAUCCUUAUUCCCAUUCGCAGCAUUAUUGGCUUCAAUUUUCUUGACAUUUUUCAUUUUACUCUUUCCAACUGUCAAUUUGUUGAGUAGAAGCAGAAUAAAAUCAGUUUUUAGUUUUCCAACGACAUUUUCCAAGCGUUCCAAAUCGUCUUUGGAUUCUUUGGAGUGGGCGUGAGACUCUUGGUUCCGAAUCAUUGAACAAUUGUUAAAUUUUGGUGGAAUAUUUGGUGAUUUCUUCCAGAUUGGGAUUGAUUUGUUAGUUUGUUGGUGGUGGUCUGAGUCAUCGUGGAUAAAAAGUUUUCCAUCCGAUUCUUCAUCCCAUUUGAAUUUACAAUUUGACAUGUACUUUGCGCAAUGUUGGUUUAUCCGGUCGGGCAAGGAAUUCAUCAUUUUGUUCAAUUUUGACUCCAAUUGUUCCACGCGGAUUUGAAGGGCUUGCAAUUUCUCCAGCUUUUCAAUCCUGAUUUCUAAAUCAUCUUGAUUUGGUUUUUGAUGGAGGAUUUGAGCAGAUUUUGAUAAUCGAGGAGUUUCUUGUUUUUGAGAAGUAGUUGCGAGUUUAGCUGACACUGGUUGAAUAUUUUCACUAAAAGAAGACGCAAUUUUGAGCCAACGCUGCUCUGGAUCCAUUUUUGUAGUGUUUUUUUUCUAUAAAAUUUUUCUAUGUGGACUAUUAAAAACUUUGAAAAUUGUGUAUUUCUAUAGUGUUUAUUUUAAAUUAUAGUUUACACGUUCUAAUUUUGAGGUACAAAUUUUCAAAAAUAAUUGCUAAAAUUUAGAGAUCCGCCUUUUCCAAUUUUCCGAUUUCUUGUAAAAAUGCAGCAAAUACUUUUGUCUAUAGAAAAAAAAUCACAGUCCAAAAUAAAUAAAUUAAAAUCCAUCAAAAUAA